AGCAAGUAAAACAUUAUUGGGGGGUUUUUGUUCGCAUGAAAUAAACAGCACCAAGGGUUUGGAGGAAAGUGGAGAUCGUCGCCGACCGCAUAUCGGCUCGAUCGAAGGUUUAUCAAACAUCAAAUUUCUCACAGGCUACUACUGUAAUGGCUCGAGUUUUUGUUGGGAAUCUGGACCCGCGUGUCACAGAAACCGAACUGGAAGAUGAAUUCCGUAUCUACGGAGUUCUUAAGAGUGUAUGGGUUGCUAGGAGGCCACCUGGUUAUGCUUUUAUUGAGUUUGACAACCGUAAAGAUGCACUUGACGCAAUAAGCUCUUUAGACGGGAAGAAUGAAUGGCGUGUGGAGCUUUCCCACAACUCUAAGGAUGGAGGAGGAGGAGGAGGCCGUGGAGGGCGUGGACGUGGUGGGGGUGAUGCCUUGAAGUGUUAUCAAUGUGGAGAAUCUGGCCAUUUUGCCCGUGAAUGUAGCUCUCGAGGAGGUCCUCCAGGUAGAGGGGGUGGGAGACGUAGAAGCCCUAGUCCCAGACGCAGAAGGAGUCCAAGUUAUGGACACAGUCCUCGUGGAAGAAAAUCUCCUGUGCGGCGCAGUAUAUCACCCUAUCGUGGAAGGAGAUCUCCAGUGCGGCGCAGUGUAUCACCUUAUCGUGCGCGGAGUAGGUCACCUCCAUAUCGUCGUGCUCCCCGUCAUGAUUCACCCAUUGCGAAUGGUAGGUCAUCUCCGUAUCGUCGUGCUCGUCGUGCUUCACCUUAUGCUAAUGGAGAUUGAUACUUGGACUGACAUGAAGCUUGAUGGGAGAGAGGACAUGGAGGAACUGAUGGAUCUGAAGUUUGUAGUAGUUACUAAGAUAUGUUAUCAGACUGAAUGUAGUUAAGCUUCCUCCAUAUCUGGAAAACUGCUUUGUGAAACCAAUGCAUAGACAUGACUCACAUUUUGCAUCGGCUUCUCUGUGCUUCUUUCUGCAGUGCACAGGGUUUACAACCUCUACAUGUGUUGCACAUGAACGUCGUCUACUUGCUGUUGCUCCGUGUGCUUAUUGAACAUGGCUCACAAAUUAAUCUGCAAUUUAUUGUACUGUCAGUCAAAGCUUCCGCUUUCUUGCUUAGGACCAGACCUUUACACUUUUCAGCCUAAUCUAAUGGUUGAUGAGGAAGCUGCCUGAUUUGAUUGCUUCUUUUGCUUUAUUGAGUCAAGUGUAUGAACACACCCUCCAGCUAGGCAAAGAUGCAAAGUGAUUUCACAAAUUGCCAAGUUGUUUAUUCAACAUAUACCUAAAGUUCUUUUGCCUGUCUACUAUACUAGUGUCAUUAGUUAUCUGAUAUGAGUUCCAACACUAGUUAAUGGUGAUGAUCAACGGAUGAUUAUGCAGCCAAUCUUGUUAUGGUAGCAUUUAAUCGUGGCUUCACAUAAUGAUAUUAGUGUCAUUAGUUAUCUGAUAUGAGUUCCAAUACUAGUUAUUGGUGAUGAUCAAGGGAUGAUUAUGCAACCAAUCUUGUUAUGGUAGCAAUUGAUCGUGGAUUCACAUAAUGAUGCUUACUCUUCUUCGUUUGUCUAUGAGAAGACUACUUUGGUAAUUUCAACUGUCCAGUAUAGUUUAACUUUAAGUUAGAGAGUAAUAUUGCCCAUCAUGGUAUUUGUGACCUCGGUCUUCAUGUCUUAUGUUGUCUGUUUAUUAUUACUAACAACAUAAUAUAUUUCUAUUGAUGGAUCUUUGAUGUGUGUAUAAUAGUUUUAUAUGUUAAGUAAAUGUAACUAAUAAAUUAUUUAUAUCAUGUUAUCUAUUUGUUCUUUUGGCAAUGAUAAUGAUGGUUAAAUUAUAUUGAA